ACACUGGAUUUUAAAAUGGCAGUAUUUUCCAUACAUUGAUUUAUUUGCAGUGGGCUAUGUUGAUUUUUCUAUUUUUUUUUUUUGUAUUUAAAAUGGGUAAAAUCCUAUUUCAUUGUAGAGCUGUGUACAGUGCAUUGAUUCGCUCAGCCCCUUCUUUCUGUUUGCCACUCCCUCU